rnacentral:rRNA from 1 species
AGGGUUUGAUCAUGGCUCAGAUUGAACGCUGGCGGCAGGCCUCAUACAUGCAAGUUGAACGAGAAAGUAUCUUCGGAUGCGAGUACAGUGGCGGACGGGUGAGUAAUACAUAGGAAUCUACCCAAUGGAGGGGGAUAGCUCGAGGAAACUCGAAUUAAUACCGCAUAAUCUCCACGGAGUAAAGAGGGCUUCGGCUCUCGCCAUCGGAUGAGCCUAUGCAAGAUUAGCUUGUUGGUAAGGUAAUGGCUUACCAAGGCUACGAUCUUUAGCUGGUUUGAGAGGACGACCAGCCACAUCGGGACUGAGACACGGCCCGGACUUCUACGGAAGGCAGCAGUAGGGAAUAUUGGACAAUGAGCGAAAGCUUGAUCCAGCCAUGCCGCGUGUGCGAUGAAGACCUUAGGGUUGUAAAGCACUUUAGGUUAUGAGAAAAGAUUUGGUAUUAAUACCACCAAAUUUUGAUGUUAAUUUCAGAAUAAGCACCGGCUAAAUCCGUGCCAGCAGCCGCGGUAAUACGGAUGGUGCAAGCGUUAAUCGGAAUUACUGGGCGUAAAGCGCGCGUAGGUGGCAUAUCAAGUUAGAUGUGAAAUCCCGGGGCUUAACCUCGGAACUGCAUCUAAAACUGAUAAGCUAGAGUACUAGAGAGGAAAGUAGAAUUCUUAGUGUAGCGGUGGAAUGCGUAGAUAUUAAGAGGAAUACCAAUGGCGAAGCAACUUUCUGGAUAGAUACUGACACUGAGU